rnacentral:rRNA from 1 species
GACGAACGCUGGCGGCGUGCUUAACACAUGCAAGUCGAACGGAAAGGCCCUGCUUUUGUGGGGUGCUCGAGUGGCGAACGGGUGUGUAACACGUGAGUAACCUGCCCUUGACUUUGGGAUAACUUCAGGAAACUGGGGCUAAUACCGGAUAGGAGCUCCUGCUGCAUGGUGGGGGUUGGAAAGUUUCGGCGGUUGGGGAUGGACUCGCGGCUUAUCAGCUUGUUGGUGGGGUAGUGGCUUACCAAGGCUUUGACGGGUAGCCGGCCUGAGAGGGUGACCGGCCACAUUGGGACUGAGAUACGGCCCCGACUCCUACGGGAGGCAGCAGUGGGGAAUAUUGCACAAUGGGCGGAAGCCUGAUGCAGCAACGACGCGUGCGGGAUGACGGCCUUCGGGUUGUAAACCGCUUUCGCCUGUGACGAAGCGUGAGUGACGGUAAUGGGUAAAGAAGCACCGGCUAACUACGUG